ensembl:Y_RNA Y_RNA Y RNA
AGCUGGUCUGAUGGUAGUGGGUUAUCAGAAUUUAUUAAUAUUAGUGUCACUAAAGUUGGUAUAACUCCGCUGCUAAAUUUAACUGGCCUAAA